rnacentral:rRNA from 1 species
UACGUAGGGUGCAAGCGUUGUCCGGAAUUAUUGGGCGUAAAGAGCUUGUAGGCGGUUUGUCGCGUCUGCUGUGAAAUUUCGGGGCUCAACCCCGAACUUGCAGUGGGUACGGGCAGACUAGAGUGUGGUAGGGGAGACUGGAAUUCCUGGUGUAGCGGCGAAAUGCGCAGAUAUCAGGAGGAACACCGAUGGCGAAGGCAGGUCUCUGGGCCAUAACUGACGCUGAGAAGCGAAAGCAUGGGGAGCGAACAGG